rnacentral:lncRNA from 1 species
GGCCAUGUUAGAACAACAACGUAGCUGACCUGGUGAGGCCUCAUACCAGCUGCUUGCCAUCUUUGGCCAGGGAACCUGCCCCUCCCAAGGUAGUUUUGCAUUCAGAGAUGGGUGCUAUCAGGCAGACCACUCUGCUUUGCUGUUCUGAGGUGCCGGGGGAAACCCAGCGGAUGGUGAGUGAGCAUCAGGAUGAGCAGGAUGCUCUGUGAAGAGCUUCAUCUCUGAAGUAUAGUGGUGGCAGAUCCUGCAUAAGCAAGCAGUGCUCCAGGGAGAGGAGGAAGAUGCGUGUGGGCCCAGCUGGGACCCCAGGGUCUUUCCAGCCCUAGAGGCUUCAGCUACGGCUCAUCUCAUUCCGCUGCCUUCUACCCAUCCGCAUCCACUCUUCUCACUCUCGGGUACUUGAUGUUCAUUCUCCUCUCUGUGCUCCGUCUAUUCUGUCCCGAGGCCUUUAUAAAAGCUGUCCCACCA